CUCGGCAUGGCUCAGGAGGUAGAGCGGCUAGGCUAGGAAUCAGAAGGUUCCUGGUUCGAUCCCCGGCUCCUCCAGAGA